rnacentral:lncRNA from 10 species
GUUGGGGCUGAGCUGAUCUGGUCUGGUCUGGGCUGAGGCUGAAGCUGGGACUUGGCUGGGCUGGGCUGGGUUGGGUUGGGUCUGGGCUGGGGCUGGGGCUGAGCUGGGCUGGGUCUGAGCUGGUCUGGUCUGGUCUGGGCUGAGCUGGGCUGAGCUGGUCUGGGCUGGACUGGUCUGGUCUGGACUAGGCUGGUCUGGGCUGGCCUGGUCUGGUCUGGACUAGGCUGGUCUGGGCUGGCCUGGUCUGGUCUGGAGUGGGGUGGGCUGGGCUGGGCUGGGGUACUGCUGGGAUCCAAACUGUGUCUGCUCUGGCAGAGGUGAGAGGUGGGUGGUUGUUUAGGGAGGUGGGGGCUGGGAGUGGGGCUCCAAGGGUCUUGGGAAGGGGAAUGAACACUGGCCUUGAAGGCAGAGACUUGGGGUCUUGGCAACUGUGAUCAAGUUACUUUACUGCUCAGAGCCUCAGCCUGCCCGUCGGUAGAGUAGUUGUGAUAGCACAGCCCCCAGAGUGGAGGCUGAGGUAAGGAAUAGACACAGAACCUGGUAUACAGGAAGCACUCAGUGGACAGCUAUUGUCUACCUCUCCAUUAAGGUCCUUGUCACAUCUCUCUUUGCAAAUGGUCAUGGACUAAGGCUGUUAUUUGACAUUCCCUGUGCUCCUUUAGCCCCAAGCCUAGGGAGGGCACUGGCAGGUGGCCCUGGGACCGCCUCUCCUCCUGGGAAGCCCCGCGUGUUUCCAGGCUCUGGAGCAAGCCUCCCAGAGCUGGAAGGCGCCGUUGUGUACGUGGGCCGCCGCCCUCCACCGCCCUCCGCCGCCAGGGCUCUGCAGACGCUGGCUCCCAGGAGCCGGGACAAAGCCCUAUUAUGCAGGGUGCUCACACUCACGUCUGAAGCGUGUGAACCUGCCGACCCGCCCGCCCGGCCCACAGAGGCUAGAGUGGCUCUGCCCAGCCAUUGUUCCCACAGGGUAAGGGAGGUCACCCGGGGUGAGGCCGCCCAGGGCGUCUUUUGAGGCUGCGGAGGAUGAACCCUCUUUUGCUGGGAUGGGAAUAGCUGUUCUCUGUCUUCCUCUUGGUGUAGUCUUGGUUGAAGGUGGCAGGCUCUGAUCUGGAAGGAAGGAUGCCCAGGCUCUGUUUAGCACCGGGAGGUGGGAAUGCCGGGUCCCAGGGUGGCUUUUGGAAUGGAGUAGGUGUGUAGCUGGAGGAUGUGGAACUUGCCGGAGCAGCAGAGGGGUAAACCACAUCCACUCAUCCCGUCAGUAACUAUUUGUUGAGAGCUCACGAUGGGCCAGGCACUGUGGAUGCAGUAAGAACAGGUACAAAUCUCCACUCUCACGGAGCCUGUCUUCCAGGGAGGACUUCUAGAAGACCUCGCCUGGCCUUUUCUGGCUUUCCAGCUCUAUGAAAUGAUUCACUUUUCCACUGGACACUUAUUAAGCCUGAGGGAUAUUCAUUCAUUCAUUCAUCCACUCAUCCAUCCAUUCAUUCAUUCAACAAAUGCUUAUUGAGCAGCACCUACUAUGAGCCGCACCCUUCAUUAGCAAUCAGGUUGUCUUAGCUUUGGUUGUCCCAGACAAAUCCUGAGACAAGGACUCCUGUGUUGGGUGGUUUAUUAGGAUGCACUUCCAGAAGAAACCAGUAAGGGGUGGAGGUAGGGGGUGAAGAAGAGGUCAGGGGACUCAGCCACAGAGGGUGAGAUUUCAGGGACACUUCCAGUCUCAGCCUGAUCUCCUGGGGGAGCUCUGGGGGUAUAAAUUGUAAAUUGUGCCUCAGAGCUUGUCCCGAGUUUAGGCAAGGAGCUGGUGGCCCCAGGGCCUCACCAGGGCUCUUAAACUUGGGGGCGCUUGGGCUCUCUGAAUGCAGCUAGGGUAGCUCAGGUAGCCCAGGCCUGUCCUCUAAAGGGAGUCACAGGCGUAGGUGGAUAGAGGCGAAAGUGAUAGAGGCCAUAGAGCCAGGAAAGGCUCACCCAGAAAUGUGAAAUGAAAAGUGCCCCCAAACUGGAACCAGCCUUGCCCAGGAUGGAGCCUUGGCAGAACAACCAGGUGGGGGCGGGGACUUGUGAGUCAAGCACUCCCUAGAGGCCCUACCUCCUUUAUCCCCCAGCCUAGGGAAAGAGGCAUCAGGGAGGUCUUCUUGGAGGAGGUGACCCUAUGGGUGCAGUGGGUGCAGAACGAUUGCUAUACAAAUACACACACACAUACACACACACACGCAAACGCAUGCAGAAACUUGUGGCAGGGUUGGGAUUUGAACCUAGGUCUGCUGAUUCUAAAACCUGUGUUUAUUUCAUUUUGCUUUUCUCUACAUUAACAUUUUUUCACCCAAGGUCAUGAUUUCAUAGAGUGGGUUGAAGGCGUUUUAGUGGUCGUCGCAGCCAGCUCCUUUGGGUUUCAGGCUGGGGAGCUGAGUCUGGGAGAGGGGCGAUGGCUUCCUAGUGUCACACAGUGGUUUAGCGCCCGAAUCCUGGCCUCAGAGUCCCAGCCCCAGACUUGCCAAGCCUCAGUUCCUGCUGACUCUUGCAUCAUGGGAUUUUGGGCUCUGUGAGUCUGCAGUACAGACAGGACAGGUUAUGUCCUUCCGGGAAAGGCCCGGAGGUUAUUUGGAUGCAAAGAUGAAGAAAGGCUAAUGGGAUAAGCAGACAGCGUUUGUCUGUCUCCUGCAGCAGAGCAGUGGGGAUUUACCCUGUGGGAACAGGUAAUCCUGGUAGGGGCGGGUUUACAAAGUCCAUUUUGUCCAUGUUGACUAGUAAAUUGGCUUAAGGCUUGCAGUUCGGCCAUUCACCAUCCUGGACUUGCAUGAAAGGUGAAAACAACCUUUCUAAGCCCCUUCAUACCCAUCCCACCACUUUUAGGGGUGGAGAGUGAAGAUCACUUGAAAGAAACUUCAGCUAGAAAAUAAGUCUGUGCUCCUCAGCUUCGCCUGGAGUGCAUUUCUUAUCUGUUGGUAGGAAAUGAAGGCUGGGAGAGGCAAAGCCAAUUGGCUCAAGGUCAUGUCCGUCAACAUUUCUCUAAAGUUCUGCUUUCCAGACCACAGCAAGUCAGUAAGAUCAAGACCGUCUUAGAAUAAGUUCUUGACAAAAAGAAUAAACCUCCGUCUCACCCACUCUCUUCCUCUUGUCCUUCCACGGAGAGUUUGGGGUUGGUUUUCACCACAAUCAUUGAUCUUUUACUUUUUUGCUCUUUGAAAAUAUCUGUAGCUGUGGGUCAGGCAUAGUAGCUGAGUGAGGAUGUAUAUAUGUGUGUAUAUAUAUAUAUAUAUAUAUAUAAUAUAUAUAAUAUUUUUUGGUCGGAGGGUGUGUGUCCAAAUAUUAACUUCUAAUCCUCUCCCAGGAAGGAGAUAAACAGUCCCACAGGACUCACGCGGAAUAUUUUUUAGCGUCUUGCACUUUUGGUAAGUGACAGUUUUGCAAAUUGCGGGUAAAGAACUUAAAUGUCUAAUUAAAUCCUGAAGAUGUACAGGAGUUUGAAACGAGUGAUUGAUGCUCACGGAGGUGCGGCUUCCUGACAGAGGCUGCCUGACAGGGACUGCAAAGCCCGUUCAGCAACUGAUGUCUUGUUGUGAUCCAUGUUGUCAUUUUUUCAUUACUGAUUAAAAUUAAAAAUCUGCUUGGCAAAUCCAUUGUAAAAAUUCCCUUCAUGAGCAUCGACGGGUACAAAUUAUUUUGUCAAUCGUCUGGCAAUCAAAAUGGGGCUGGAGAUGGUUUCUAGCCCACACUUCUUUAUUAUCUCCCUCUCGCUCACGCCAGUGACUUUUCACAACAAAGUUUUAAAAAGCGUAGGUAGCAGGCUUGGCAGCGCUUAAAAAUUAAAGAUUUCUCUCUAUUUUUUAGUGAAAUGUUCUGUUUGUGUGCACCCCCUCCCCCCACUGAGAGCGGAGGGGAAGGUUCGUGGUGGGAGAGUCAGUCUGCGCUCUGUAAUUGUCUAAUGCUGUGUAAUGACAGGUGAAUAAUAGUAAUAAAAGCCUUUAUUAGGAUAAAAAUCUGUUUUGAGAAUGGAAGCGUAAAUUGUCUAAAACUGCGAGGCAGAAAAAAAAUCUUGCUAACCUGCAAACUGAGUGGAAAAUAUUUACAGCAACUUCAUUAGGAUGGUUUUUGACUUGGUAUCCACGUGUCAUGCGGAGGAUGAGGGAGGCGUGGGAAGGGAGGACAUACAGGUGGCGUGGAGCUGUGCAUGGUGUCCUGGGAGACAGAAGACCUGGAUUCCAGGCUUAGCUCUGUGCUGGGUGCCCUGGGUAGGUCAGUUCCCCUCCCUGGACCCUAGGUUCCUAUCUUGCAAGUAAAGUGAUCGGCUCGCUUAGCCAGUUCCUGCAUCCUCUCCGACACACGCUCUGCACAUGUGUUUAUUCAUCUGAAGCCUGGAAGUCAGCAGGCAUUUAAAGAUCCUCAAGAUUCAUCCUCUCAUGCAUUCUGUGGUAUGGGAAAGAGACCAUCCCUGGGUUUGGAGCCUGAAGCGCUGCGCUGGAGCCUGGUCAGCCACCCCAGCCCAUUGCCUUGCACCAACUAGGUGCUUUGCAUAUGAUUUGGAAUAAGGAAUGAAUGCCUGAUGGAAGACGCUAGAAGGGAACACAGGAGCAUGAACCUCCCCAAAGGAGGCUUGAACCAAUUGCCUGGGCUGGGAUCUCCACAGCAUCCAGUUCUGAUCCUCAUAAGCAUCCCUUCCAACUAACACGAGGGUCUGUAUUCCAGGAGGAGACACUAGGCUCUUUCUGUGGUUCUCAGAUGCAUGAAUGAAUGGAGCUGCGAAAGGCAUGUUUAGU